rfam:Arabis alpina cultivar Pajares Aa.chr1_contig_476, whole genome shotgun sequence.
AAUCCAUGAUCAGGACAAUCUCUUAGGUAAUCCUUAAUGCGUUCCCAAGCAUCAUGGAAACUUUCCAAAAGGUCCUUGUUGGAAUCGUUGUAUCUUAUUCAUUAAGAGAUU